CCCUUAGAUGUUCUGGGCCGCACGCGCGCUACACUGAUGCAUUCAACAAGUUUUACCUUGGCCGAGAGGCCUGGGAAAUCUUUCAAAUAUGUAUCGUGAUAGGGAUAGAUUAUUGCAAUUAUUAAUCUUGAACGAGAAAUUCCUAGUAAAUGCAGAUCAUCAUUCUGCGUUGAUUACGUCCCUGCCCUUUGUACACACCGCCCGUCGCACCUACCGAUUGAAUGAUCCGGUGAAGCCUCGGGAUUGUGCCCAGAGAACUUUAUUGUGAUUUGGGUGUGAGAACUUGUCUAAACCUUAUCAUUUAGAGGAAGGUGAAGUCGUAACA
rnacentral:rRNA from 1 species